rnacentral:rRNA from 2 species
AAACCAACAGGGAUUGCCCUAGUAACGGCGAGUGAAGCGGCAACAGCUCAAAUUUGAAAUCUGGCUCUCGGGCCCGAGUUGUAAUUUGUAGAGGAUGCUUUUGAUGCGGUGCCUUCCGAGUUCCCUGGAACGGGACGCCAUAGAGGGUGAGAGCCCCGUCUGGUUGGAUGCCAAAUCUCUGUAAAGCUCCUUCAACGAGUCGAGUAGUUUGGGAAUGCUGCUCUAAAUGGGAGGUAUAUGUCUUCUAAAGCUAAAUACCGGCCAGAGACCGAUAGCGCACAAGUAGAGUGAUCGAAAGAUGAAAAGCACUUUGAAAAGAGAGUUAAAAAGUACGUGAAAUUGUUGAAAGGGAAGCGUUUAUGACCAGACUUGGGCUUGGUUAAUCAUCUGGGGUUCUCCCCAGUGCACUUUUCCAGUCCAGGCCAGCAUCAGUUUUCCCCGGGGGAUAAAGGCGGCGGGAAUGUGGCUCUCUUCGGGGAGUGUUAUAGCCCGUCGUGUAAUACCCUGGGGGGGACUGAGGUUCGCGCAUCUGCAAGGAUGCUGGCGUAAUGGUCAUCAACGAC